rnacentral:tRNA from 2 species
GCGCGUGUGGCGGAAUUGGCAGACGCGUCAGAUUUAGGUUCUGAUGUCUUAGGACGUGGGGGUUCAAGUCCCUCCACGCGCACCA